CGGAGGUUGGGGACGGGCCGUGGGGCGGCGUAGAAGCGCCUUCCCCGGGCGUCCUGCGCCCCCUUCUGGGCGGUCCCCUCGCUCCUCCCCGCAGAGACUCCGCACUCACCCCCCCUCCAAGUCUGGGUCAGGGCCAGGGCCCCCGACAGCAGCAGGAGGAGAGCUCGGGGUGUCAUGGCCCAGACCCUCGUCUUGUGGGGAGAAGCUUAGUCCCACCGGGUCCGUGGAGACUUCCUAAUCCAACGGCGGUGACGCUGAUUGGCUUGUCUGGAAACCGGACACGCAAUGGGAGUGCGAAGGGGCCUCGCGUCACUAGCAUCCAGGCGGGAGGACCUGACACAGGUGGUGGGUAUGAUCUGCACUCCACACAAGUGAACUCUUGGAAUGUUCCAGAAUGUUCUGUGACAGGAGACCACUAGGCUCAGAGCUCAGGAGGACUUCAAUGGCAAUGUGACUUUCCUACUCAAACCACAGUAAAUCCAUCUUGCAGCAUAUAUUUCAAGGCCUCCAGUGGAUCCAGAUCAGCCAGACUCUGGAGGUAAAGCAAUGAGCAAGAGUAAGACCCUGGCCAUGUGACACCAGCACUGUCCCGAGGGAGACAGGCACUGAGCAGAAAUGCCGAAGAUGAACGUGAAUCACCACUGAGCUGAGUGCUGUGAGGACCGAGUUCAUGAGCAUGAAAGCAGACAGCAGGAAACCCAACAGGCCCUGACCACUGUAUCAACAACAUCUACAGGAUGUAAAGAUAUAUGGCAUAGGAAACAAAAGAAUCAUAUAAAACUAUAUACAAUCAUAGAACAAGCAGGAGCUCUUGGAAAUUAAAAAUUAUUCACAGAAAUGAAUAAUUCAGUGGAUGACUUGGAAGAUUAAAGCUGCAGUUCCCCUAAGUAGUACAAAUGGGAAAGUGAUGGCAAGCAGGAGAGAAGACCUAUAGCCCUAUCAGUCAUGGGAUUCCAAUGAGUUCAUGAUGUAACUUCAAAAAAAUGUAGAGUAGUAAAUGAUAAAGAACAAUUUCAAGAAUACUUCUCAGAGUUUACAGGUACAAAUUCAUAUUUUGAAAGGCCUAACCAACUUCUCACUACAGUAGAUGAAAUCUGACUCACACCAACAAAUCACAGUGGAAUUUCAGAAAGCAGGUGGAGAAGAAGAGACCUGGAAAACUUCAAAAGGCAACAAACACAGGCCUGGAGGCUGGGAGACACUGAAGCAAUGCCUCCAAAUCCUGAGGAAAAGUAUUUCCAACACAGAUUCUAUAUGAAGUCACUGUGAAUAAGGAGGAAUGUGGCCUAAAGACACUUCAGAUGUUUAGAGGUUCAGUCAUUUACUUUCCAUACUCCUUUCUCAGGAUACUACUAGGCAAAGUGGGGUAAAAUGAUAGGGAAAACCAAUAAAGAGGAACACAUGGGAUCCAGGCAACAGGGGAGCCAGCUCGACAAAGGCACCCGCCACCCAGGACAAGGUGCAGGAGAUGGGAUGUGAGCCCCGUGCAGGUGCGCAGCAUCCAGUCCACGACGGUGCUGAGCACUGAGGCCCAGGGGUGUGCCAAGACAUGAAGGCCAUAGAAUCCCUGAUGCACUCAAAUAUAUUCACCCAGAUUUACCCUGGGGAGUUUGGGAAUGAUUUAAAACAAAUAUAACAGAAACUAAGCAACUGAAGGAACAAGAUAUUUAUAUACUCCAGGAAAAAUAAAAAGUUGUUUCAA